rnacentral:sRNA from 1 species
UUAUGAAAAACAGUUAUUCCACGAGGACAACUUUUGCAGUUGCUUGCAUCAACUAAAGAAAAGUACAACGGACUGCCAAAAUGAAUACAUUAUUUCCUCAUGAGCAUUGGCUUUGUCUCUUAGUACUGAGUACUGUCGUACUUUGGUUAUAAUCUGAACACAAAUAUCUAACGAUGCUAUUUUCGCCGGAGUAAUCCUGUACCGUUAGUCCUCUAAUGGAUAGUUAUAUCGUAGUGAACUCAUCUAAGAGUAUAGCAAUCCCCAAUGUAGUGGGACAUCAAGUACUCGUUGUGUUCAUGGCGCCCUUUGAUGUCCGCCGUCUUACUGUGACGUAGCACUGUAACAUUUUCAGUUUUGAUGUCAAACAGUGUGAUUCUUUGUGACAGAAUAUUGAGUGCGUGGUACGUGAUUGAAAGAAGCAGGCGAUGUACCACAGAAAGCGGGCCCAGAUUUCCUAUCAGAUGCUCAGAGGCCAUCAUUUGGUGGUUUUUUGUUAGACUGUAUUAGGUUAGAAAUUUUAUCGAAGAGUGAUAUAAGAAUAUUGGAUCUG